CAGACGCAGUGCCUAAAGCAUCACCGGGUUUCUGCUCUCUUUUGAUCACUAAAUGACUCCACGGCAGUCCUGAGCAAGGCGGCCCCAAACCACCGCCUCUUCAGCUUGUUUCAAAAGACAAUGCCACACGGUUUCUGCUCGCAGUGUCCAACUCCUUUAAUCUCAGAGAGACCUGCAAAACAUUUCGCUUAAGCCAUUCAGCUGUUUGAUAGUUGAACCAAGAGCAAGAAGGCGUUUUUGAAAAUGUGCAUAAAGUAGCGUGGGAGCUACUCUUGUCCACACGAGAUUCCUGGAAGAAUCAGCUCAACAAGCCUCAGACUGCCUGUAAACAGCAGCUGGAACCCCCUAUGUAACUGCAUUUGGAGAAACAGCCUGUGAGGUGAUAGCAAUUUACUGAGGCUACAGGAUGAAGUCAUAAGCCGACAGUGCCCAUGUUAGAAGAGGAAAGUACCAGAACGCUCUCCUUCUGCCAGUUAAGGACGUCGAGCUGGGAAAAGAGUUCUCACCAGAAAUCGACCCUGCCGGACCCUGACCUGGGACUUCCAG